UACGAAGGGUGCAAGCGGUAAUCGGAAUUACUGGGCGUAAAGCGCGCGUAGGUGGUUCAGUAAGUUGGAAGUGACAUCCCCGGGCUCAACCUGGGAACUGCUUUCAAAACUGCUGAGCUAGAGUACGGUAGAGGGUGGUGGAAUUUCCUGUGUAGCGGUGAAAUGCGUAGAUAUAGGAAGGAACACCAGUGGCGAAGGCGACCACCUGGACUGAUACUGACACUGAGGUGCGAAAGCGUGGGGAGCAAACAGG
rnacentral:rRNA from 1 species